rnacentral:misc_RNA from 1 species
GCGGAGGAAAAGAAACCAACAGGGAUUGCCUCAGUAACGGCGAGUGAAGCGGCAACAGCUCAAAUUUGAAAUCUGGCCCCUUCGGGGUCCGAGUUGUAAUUUGUAGAAGAUGCUUCGGGUGUGGCCCCGGUCUAAGUUCCUUGGAACAGGACGUCACAGAGGGUGAGAAUCCCGUAUGUGGCCGGUGGCCUCCCCCGUGUGAAGCUCUUUCGACGAGUCGAGUUGUUUGGGAAUGCAGCUCAAAAUGGGUGGUAAAUUUCAUCUAAAGCUAAAUAUUGGCCAGAGACCGAUAGCGCACAAGUAGAGUGAUCGAAAGAUGAAAAGCACUUUGGAAAGAGGGUUAAACAGUACGUGAAAUUGUUGAAAGGGAAGCGCUUGCAACCAGACUUGCGCGCGGCCGAUCAUCCGGGGGUCCCCCCCCGGUGCACUCGGCCGUGCGCAGGCCAGCAUCGGUUUGGGCGGCCGGACAAAGGCCUCGGGAAUGUGGCUCCUCCGGGAGUGUUAUAGCCCGAGGUGCAAUGCGGCCAGCCCGGACCGAGGACCGCGCUUCGGCUAGGAUGCUGGCGUAAUGGUUGUAAGCGGCCCGUCUUGAAACACGGACCAAGGAGUCUAACAUCUAUGCGAGUGUUUGGGUGGCAAACCCAUCCGCGUAAUGAAAGUGAACGGAGGUGAGAACCCUUAAGGGCGCAUCAUCGACCGAUCCUGAUGUCUUCGGAUGGAUUUGAGUAAGAGCAUAGCUGUUGGGACCCGAAAGAUGGUGAACUAUGCCUGAAUAGGGUGAAGCCAGAGGAAACUCUGGUGGAGGCUCGCAGCGGUUCUGACGUGCAAAUCGAUCG